AUCUUAUCCAGAGAGGCGGAGGGAAUUGGCCCGAAGAUGUCCGGCAACCUGCACAUGUGCAAGGUGCUAAAUCCAACAAAAUGUAAACCAUUUUGGAAGAUAAGGU
rnacentral:ncRNA from 2 species